rnacentral:rRNA from 1 species
AGUGGCGAACGGGUGAGUAAUAUAUCGGAACGUACCCAAGAGUGGGGGAUAACGUAGCGAAAGUUACGCUAAUACCGCAUACGAUCUAAGGAUGAAAGUGGGGGAUCUUCGGACCUCAUGCUCCUGGAGCGGCCGAUAUCUGAUUAGCUAGUUGGUGAGGUAAAGGCUCACCAAGGCGACGAUCAGUAGCUGGUCUGAGAGGACGACCAGCCACACUGUGACUGAGACACGGCCCAGACUCCUACGGGAGGCAGCAGUGGGGAAUUUUGGACAAUGGGCGCAAGCCUGAUCCAGCAAUGCCGCGUGAGUGAAGAAGGCCUUCGGGUUGUAAAGCUCUUUUGUCAGGGAAGAAACGGCCGAGGCUAAUACCUUUGGCUAAUGACGGUACCUGAAGAAUAAGCACCGGCUAACUACGUGCCAGCAGCCGCGGUAAUACGUAGGGUGCAAGCGUUAAUCGGAAUUACUGGGCGUAAAGCGUGCGCAGGCGGUUUUGUAAGUCUGUCGUGAAAGCCCCGGGCUUAACCUGGGAAUUGCGAUGGAGACUGCAAGGCUUGAAUCUGGCAGAGGGGGGUAGAAUUCCACGUGUAGCAGUGAAAUGCGUAGAGAUGUGGAGGAACACCGAUGGCGAAGGCAGCCCCCUGGGUCAAGAUUGACGCUCAUGCACGAAAGCGUGGGGAGCAAGCAGGAUUAGAUACCCUGGUAGUCCACGCCCUAAACGAUGUCUACUAGUUGUCGGGUCUUAAUUGACUUGGUAACGCAGCUAACGCGUGAAGUAGACCGCCUGGGGAGUACGGUCGCAAGAUUAAAACUCAAAGGAAUUGACGGGGACCCGCACAAGCGGUGGAUGAUGUGGAUUAAUUCGAUGCAACGCGAAAAACCUUACCUACCCUUGACAUGUCAGGAACCUCCGAGAGAUUGGAGGGUGCUCGAAAGAGAGCCUGAACACAGGUGCUGCAUGGCUGUCGUCAGCUCGUGUCGUGAGAUGUUGGGUUAAGUCCCGCAACGAGCGCAACCCUUGUCAUUAGUUGCUACGAAAGGACACUCUAAUGAGACUGCCGGUGACAAACCGGAGGAAGGUGGGGAUGACGUCAAGUCCUCAUGGCCCUUAUGGGUAGGGCUUCACACGUCAUACAAUGGUACAUACAGAGGGCCGCCAACCCGCGAGGGGGAGCUAAUCCCAGAAAGUGUAUCGUAGUCCGGAUCGCAGUCUGCAACUCGACUGCGUGAAGUUGGAAUCGCUAGUAAUCGCGGAUCAGCAUGUCGCGGUGAAUACGUUCCCGGGUCUUGUACACACCGCCCGUCA